AGGGUUUGAUUAUGGCUCAGGACGAACGCUGGCGGCGCGCCUAACACAUGCAAGUCGAACGAGCGAGAGAGAGCUUGCUUUCUCGAGCGAGUGGCGAACGGGUGAGUAACGCGUGAGGAACCUGCCUCAAAGAGGGGGACAACAGUUGGAAACGACUGCUAAUACCGCAUAAGCCCACAGGUCGGCAUCGACCAGAGGGAAAAGGAGCAAUCCGCUUUGAGAUGGCCUCGCGUCCGAUUAGCUAGUUGGUGAGGUAAUGGCCCACCAAGGCAACGAUCGGUAGCCGGACUGAGAGGUUGAACGGCCACAUUGGGACUGAGACACGGCCCAG
rnacentral:rRNA from 1 species